UACAGAGGUCUCAAGCGUUGUUCAGAUUCAUUGGGCGUAAAGGGUGCGUAGGUGGCGCUGUAAGUCAGGUGUGAAAUUUCGGAGCUUAACUCCGAAACUGCAUUUGAUACUGCGGUGCUUGAGGACUGGAGAGGAGACUGGAAUUUACGGUGUAGCAGUGAAAUGCGUAGAGAUCGUAAGGAAGACCAGUGGCGAAGGCAGGUUACUGAGCCACAACUGACGCUGGAGGCACGAAAGCGUGGGGAUCAAACAGG
rnacentral:rRNA from 1 species